rnacentral:rRNA from 1 species
CGCUAGCUACAGGCUUAACACAUGCAAGUCGAGGGGAAACGAUAUUGGAAGCUUGCUUCCGAUAGGCGUCGACCGGCGCACGGGUGAGUAACGCGUAUCCAACCUGCCCAUCACUUGGGGAUAACCUUGCGAAAGUAAGACUAAUACCCAAUGAUAUCUCUAGAAGACAUCUGAAGGAGAUUAAAGAUUUAUCGGUGAUGGAUGGGGAUGCGUCUGAUUAGCUUGUUGGCGGGGUAACGGCCCACCAAGGCUACGAUCAGUAGGGGUUCUGAGAGGAAGGUCCCCCACAUUGGAACUGAGACACGGUCCAAACUCCUACGGGAGGCAGCAGUGAGGAAUAUUGGUCAAUGGACGAGAGUCUGAACCAGCCAAGUAGCGUGCAGGAUGACGGCCCUAUGGGUUGUAAACUGCUUUUAUAAGGGAAUAAAGUGAGUCUCGUGAGACUUUUUGCAUGUACCUUAUGAAUAAGGACCGGCUAAUUCCGUGCCAGCAGCCGCGGUAAUACGGAAGGUCCGGGCGUUAUCCGGAUUUAUUGGGUUUAAAGGGAGCGUAGGCCGGAGAUUAAGCGUGUUGUGAAAUGUAGACGCUCAACGUCUGCACUGCAGCGCGAACUGGUUUCCUUGAGUACGCACAAAGUGGGCGGAAUUCGUGGUGUAGCGGUGAAAUGCUUAGAUAUCACGAAGAACUCCGAUUGCGAAGGCAGCUCACUGGAGCGCAACUGACGCUGAAGCUCGAAAGUGCGGGUAUCGAACAGGAUUAGAUACCCUGGUAGUCCGCACGGUAAACGAUGGAUGCCCGCUGUUGGUCUGAAUAGGUCAGCGGCC